rnacentral:rRNA from 1 species
GUCCCUACGGGGCGCAGCAGUGGGGAAAUUUGCGCAAUGCUCGUAAGAGUGACGCAGCGACGCCGCGUGAAUGACGAAGGCCUUCGGGUCGUAAAUUUCUUUCGACAGGGAAGAAAAUGCCUAUAAGUAACUGUGUAUGUAUUGACGGAGCCUGUAUAAGCAGCCCCGGCUAACUCCGCGCCAGCAGCCGCGGUAAUACGGAGGGGGCGAGCGUUGUUCGGAGUGACUGGGCGUAAAGAGCACGUAGGCGGUGUUGUAAGUCAUUAGUCAAAGACUAGAGCUCAACUUUAGUAAGGCUAGGGAUA